AGUGAACGCUGGCGGUAGGCCUAACACAUGCAAGUCGAACGGCAGCACAGUAAGAGCUUGCUCUUACGGGUGGCGAGUGGCGGACGGGUGAGGAAUACAUCGGAAUCUACUUUUUCGUGGGGGAUAACGUAGGGAAACUUACGCUAAUACCGCAUACGACCUACGGGUGAAAGCAGGGGAUCUUCGGACCUUGCGCGAUUGAAUGAGCCGAUGUCGGAUUAGCUAGUUGGCGGGGUAAAGGCCCACCCAGGCGACGAUCCGUAGCUGGUCUGAGAGGAUGAUCAGCCACACUGGAACGGAGACACGGACCAGACUCCUACGGGAGGCAGCAGUGGGGAAUAUUGGACAAUGGGCGGAAGCCUGAUCCAGCCAUACCGCGUGGGUGAAGAAGGCCUUCGGGUUGUAAAGCCCUUUUGUUGGGAAAGAAAAGCAGCAGGUUAAUACCCCGCUGUUCUGACGGUACCCAAAGAAUAAGCACCGGCUAACUUCGUG
rnacentral:rRNA from 1 species